AACGAACGCUGGCGGCAGGCCUAACACAUGCAAGUCGAGCGGACCCUUCGGGGUUAGCGGCGGACGGGUGAGUAACGCGUGGGAAUAUGCCCUUCUCUACGGAAUAGUCCUGGGAAACUGGGGGUAAUACCGUAUACGCCCUUUGGGGGAAAGAUUUAUCGGGGAAGGAUUAGCCCGCGUUGGAUUAGGUAGUUGGUGGGGUAAUGGCCUACCAAGCCGACGAUCCAUAGCUGGUUUGAGAGGAUGAUCAGCCACACUGGGACUGAGACACGGCCCAGACUCCUACGGGAGGCAGCAGUGGGGAAUCUUAGACAAUGGGGGCAACCCUGAUCUAGCCAUGCCGCGUGAGUGAUGAAGGCCUUAGGGUUGUAAAGCUCUUUCAGCUGGGAAGAUAUGACGGUACCAGCAGAAGAAGCCCCGGCUAACUCCGUG
rnacentral:rRNA from 1 species